CGCACAUUGCGCCCAUUAGUAUUCUAGUGGGCAUGCCUGUUCGAGCGUCAUUUCAACCCUUAAGCCUAGCUUAGUGUUGGGAGUCUACUUUAGCGGAGCUACCCUGUAGCUACCCUGUAGUUCCCCAAAUUGAACGGCGGAUCUGCAGUAUCCUCUGAGCGUAGUAAAUUUUUAUCUCGCUUUUGUAAGGUGCUGUAGCUCUUGCCGCAAAACCCCCAAUUUUUAAUGGUUGACCUCGGAUCAGGUAGGAAUACCCGCUGAACUUAA
rnacentral:misc_RNA from 1 species